rnacentral:rRNA from 1 species
UACAUGGGGUGCAAACGUUGCUCGGAAUUAUUGGGCGUAAAGCGCGCGUAGGCGGUUACUCAAGUCGGAUGUGAAAGCCCUCGGCUAAACUGAGGAAGUGCACCCGAAACUGAGUAGCUAGAGUACUAAAGAGGGUCGCGGAAUUCCCGGUGUAGAGGUGAAAUUCGUAGAUAUCGGGAGGAACACCGGUGGCGAAGGCGGCGACCUGGGUAGAUACUGACGCUGAGGCGCGAAAGCGUGGGGAGCAAACAGG